rnacentral:rRNA from 1 species
GACGUAGGGGGCCAGCGUUGUUCGGAAUUACUGGGUGUAAAGGGUUCGUAGGCGGUGUGGCAAGUCGGGAGUGAAAUCUCUGGGCUCAACUCAGAGACUGCUUCCGAAACUGCUGUGCUGGAGCGUGGGAGAGGCGCGUGGAAUUGCAGGUGUAGCGGUGAAAUGCGUAGAUAUCUGCAGGAACACCCGUGGCGAAAGCGGCGCGCUGGACCACUACUGACGCUGAGGAACGAAAGCUAGGGGAGCAAACAGG